CACCAGCCUGAUCCGUUGAGUGACGACAGAACGAUAUUUUUCUUCCGAAUUCUGAGUUCUACUCUAACGUCACAAGAAAUGAAAUCACACAUGGUUCCGGUUUGGAGUCUGUGUAAACUUUUGUCAUCUAUACUAUCAAUAAGAUGAGUUGUUGUCGUGUUUUUUCUUACUGACCAGCAGCUGAACAGGUGUACCGUGUACAUUGGCCGUUGUGUCUGUAGAUUGUGAUUGCGGCUCGUAGUGUGUUUAACUGGUUACCAAAUUGGCACAUCGUUACCAAAGAUAGCAUGGCUCAGUGCUCCCAGUCCUGUUCCACCGACUGGACCACAUUUGAAGUGAGUCAGCGUGGUGUCACAGUGAACCAGCAACCUUCUGAUACCGUGAAUGUGGAACUCAUCUGUGAUAACCUUUUAUAACCUUUUUACAGUUUUUCUUUAAAAGACAUUACGUAUGUUCGUCAUGAAGCUCUCCUCUCCUCUGACCUUUCAAGGUCAAAAUGGAGUGUUCUUAAGGUUAAUUACCAAGUUUUUUCAGCAACACACAGUUGUGAUGCAUUUAAUUACAGAAUAAAUAAAUGUAUUUUCUGUGGGGUUCUUUCUAUUUGAACCUCAUUAGUUUGAUGUUAGACAAACACAGAUCCAUUUUAUAACUUAAUUAAAUCAAUCCAGUUUUUCUGGUGUCCUAAGAUGAGGAUGAAUCUGACAUUUUCUUUGUUCAUUUUUCAGUGGCAGACGACUCGGUUCCUUCCCAGAAGCUAAGGUAAAACGCUCAGUGCCUGCGUUAAAGCCCUGCUCAGGAAUGUGGAAGCUACGGGUGAACCAACCUGUUGGGAGUCAACAGAUGGUGUUUGUGAACAGAGAUGGAGGUAACUGCCCAGCGGCUGAGGAGGAGGAGCCAGAAGGCGAAGCCCUGAGGCUGGUGCUCCCAGAGGAAGAGGAGGAGGAGGAUGAUGAAGAGGUGACCGCCGGGCGGAUGAGUGGAGGUGGCGGGUGAUUAUGGGGUGCCCGGUUCUGGAGCGGGCGCGUCUGCAGAGGUGGCGGCUGACGGAGGAGGCUAGGAGGAGCCGAGGGAGGUGCGGGGCGCAGCAGAGGCGGAGGCUGGGAGAGAGAGGACGUGGUCUGGGUGGAGGAGGGAGGGGAAGAACUGUCAGCAGUGUCUGAUGGAGAGUCUUCCAUCUUGACCUGAGGUGAGGAGAGGAUGACAAGCACUACAGUUAGACGAAGAGAAGCAGAGGUGUGAGAGUGACUGUCAGCUGUUAGAGAACCAGCUGCUGCUCAGAUGAACUCUCUGGAUUUCACUGGCACCGACUCUCGUUUGUUUCCCAACUUGUCAAAUCUGUUCCUGACAAACCUGACGCAGAGACUCGGGUGGAGCUCAGACAAUCCAUCGACUUGAAUCAAUUAAGAGCAUUUUUGAAGUGAAUGGAUGCAUCAUUUCAUUCAUUUGGCUGCAGCUAAACCUGCUGGCAGCACAGUACAAGUGUCUGUAACGUCACGUACGUCCUCUCAGGCCUCACCUCAUCGUCCUCUGCAGCGCCGUCGGGAGCUGCAGUGAUGUCCUCCCCGCUCCUCCUGGGGUCUCUCUGGUCCCGGUUGGUGGCCACCUGUUCGGCCGCCCACUCCCUCAGCACCUCAUCCAAGUUGAACCUGCGUCGGUAACUGACGAAGAACGAACUCACCUGAACGGAGAAAGAUUGGGACAGGGAUGCUCACCUGAGCUGGUGUCUUGGUACCGAUCACCUCUGCAAUGGCUCCAAAAUCUUUACCAUAACGACGGAUAGCUGGAAUCAUAAAAACAGAUACACAUGAAUGAACACCAACCCAGUCAAUUUGCAGAAAUCUCUGGUGUGAAAUGAAUGGAUUUGGAAAACUCUGCUGGGCACUGAGACAUAGCCAUAGCAACGGGGGUCUACAGUGGGAGGAUGAUGCUGCAGAUGCAGCCUUCACCCACCUUGCACAGCCAGGAGCUGCUCCUCUGUGGUCCAACGAGAGUUCAUCUUUGAGGCAGGCUGUGAGGGAGAGGAGGGAAGAGAUUAGAGCAAGAAGGAGAAGCUGGUUGAAGGCAACGAGUCAAUGAGAGGAGAAAAUGUUGGAGAGAGACUUUAGAGAAAAAUUCAAGUGACGACAACCAGUGCACACAGCUGAACAUGGCAUGGCAGAAAUACUGCAGUAAAAUGUGACUUACUUCAGCAGUGACACCAACUGUGUGUCCAGCUGCCGUAUGGUCAACACUCCAGAAUCCAGAGAGGUAGACAGGGCCAUGAUGUCGCCCUGCUCUAGGUGCAUGCCUUUCGGUGGCCUGCGGCGAGCUCUGAGCGGGUGGUGACGAUACUG